UACGUAGGGACCGAGCGUUGUCCGGAAUCAUUGGGCGUAAAGAGCGUGUAGGCGGCUAUUUAAGUCCUGCGUGAAAUCCUGCGGCUCAACCGCAGACGGUCGUGGGAAACUGGAUGGCUAGAGUGCGGGAGAGGAGAGUGGAAUUCCCGGUGUAGCGGUGAAAUGCGUAGAUAUCGGGAGGAACAUCAGUGGCGAAGGCGGCUGCCUGGCCCAAUACUGACACUCAGGUGCGACAGCGUGGGGAGCAAACAGG
rnacentral:rRNA from 1 species